rnacentral:misc_RNA from 1 species
UACUCAGGAGCAAGAGAGGAAGAGA